AGUGAACGCUGGCGGUAGGCCUAACACAUGCAAGUCGAACGGCAGCACAGUAAGAGCUUGCUCUUACGGGUGGCGAGUGGCGGACGGGUGAGGAAUACAUCGGAAUCUACUUUUUCGUGGGGGAUAACGUAGGGAAACUUACGCUAAUACCGCAUACGACCUACGGGUGAAAGCAGGGGAUCUUCGGGCCUUGCGCGAUUGAAUGAGCCGAUGUCGGAUUAGCUAGUUGGCGGGGUAAAGGCCCACCAAGGCGACGAUCCGUAGCUGGUCUGAGAGGAUGAUCAGCCACACUGGAACUGAGACACGGUCCAGACUCCUACGGGAGGCAGCAGUGGGGAAUAUUGGACAAUGGGCGCAAGCCUGAUCCAGCCAUACCGCGUGGGUGAAGAAGGCCUUCGGGUUGUAAAGCCCUUUUGUUGGGAAAGAAAAGCAGCAGGUUAAUACCCCGCUGUUCUGACGGUACCAAAAGAAUAAGCACCGGCUAACUUCGUG
rnacentral:rRNA from 1 species